UGAUACUUGUCCUCUUUUUCCCUCCCUUUCAUCUUCAUCCCAUUCUCUCCAUCAUUGGCCAAUGAGUUAAGUUCUUAUGGUUGGUCUUGACAAAUGAGAGGUUUAACAUUCUUUGAUCCAAACCAAACUCAACUUGAUCCAUGAUCAAGUGAGUUGUUUUGUGUCCAAGAUAGGUUGCUUCUUGGUCAAGCAAAUAACCUAAAGACAAUACAAG
rnacentral:lncRNA from 1 species